rnacentral:rRNA from 1 species
UACAGAGGGUGCGAGCGUUAAUCGGAAUUACUGGGCGUAAAGCGCGCGUAGGCGGCUUUGCAAGUCGGGUGUGAAAUCCCCAGGCUUAACCUGGGAACUGCAUUCGAGACUGCAUUGCUAGAGUAUGGGAGAGGGAAGUGGAAUUUCCGGUGUAGCGGUGAAAUGCGUAGAUAUCGGAAGGAACAUCAGUGGCGAAAGCGACUUCCUGGACCAGUACCGACGUUCAGGCACGAAAGCGUGGGAGCAAACAGG